GCCUCUUUUUUUUAAAAAUAAAACAAACUUUCGAAACCCCUUUUUUCUUUUUUCUCUACUAGGGUUUUAAACCCUAGCCUUUGCGCAGCCGUCGCCUAUCUGCCACCUUAUACGGUGGCCGACGUUCCUAAAGUCCCCUUUUUAGCCGAUUUCAGCCUCCUUAAACCUGAUUUAAAGGAAAAAUACCCCGAAUCCCUCCAAAAAACAAAAAACAAAAAAUGGAAGAGAAAAGAACAAAAACUAAGGCCCUUCGCCUCCCUAUCCGGGACGGUGAUAUUUCCGACGAAACUCGAAGGUUUGGCUGCCCAAACUCCGACCGCAGGCACGAGGUUGCUAGGAGGUCAACGGGGUUGGUGCAAGGCCGAGCAGAGGGGGUCAGGCCUCGAGACCAGGCGCGGGCGGUGCGCUCGAGGCACAUGGGGGCAAACGACACCUAGGGUUUCUGCUUCCCUCUUUUGGCUGAAGUUUGUUUAGAUCUUGGGCCUAUCGGAACGUUAGGGUUUUUUGUUGUUUGGGCUGUUGGGGUUGUAAUAUUUGGACGGUUAAUAUUAGAGUUUUAUUUGGUUUUAUUAUUUUUUAAUUUUGGUUUAUAACGGGCCGAACAAAUUGGGCCUGUUACAACUAAUAUAUAAAAAUGUUUAAAAGAAAUGAAAUAUACAAUUUAAAA